rnacentral:tRNA from 1 species
GGAGAGAUGGCAGAGUGGUCGAUUGCGGCGGUCUUGAAAACCGUUGACCCGGGGAACCGGGUCCGGGGGUUCGAAUCCCUCUCUCUCCG